rnacentral:rRNA from 1 species
UAAUACAUCGGAACGUGUCCUGGAGUGGGGGAUAGCCCGGCGAAAGCCGGAUUAAUACCGCAUACGCUCUNUGGAGGAAAGCGGGGGAUCUUCGGACCUCGCGCUCAAGGGGCGGCCGAUGGCAGAUUAGCUAGUUGGUGGGGUAAAGGCCUACCAAGGCGACGAUCUGUAGCUGGUCUGAGAGGACGACCAGCCACACUGGGACUGAGACACGGCCCAGACUCCUACGGGAGGCAGCAGUGGGGAAUUUUGGACAAUGGGCGCAAGCCUGAUCCAGCAAUGCCGCGUGUGUGAAGAAGGCCUUCGGGUUGUAAAGCACUUUUGUCCGGAAAGAAAACCUCGUGGUUAAUACCCGUGGGGGAUGACGGUACCGGAAGAAUAAGCACCGGCUAACUACGUGCCAGCAGCCGCGGUAAUACGUAGGGUGCGAGCGUUAAUCGGAAUUACUGGGCGUAAAGCGUGCGCAGGCGGUNCGUUAAGACAGA